rnacentral:lncRNA from 1 species
GACACCCUUGAACGGCCCACACGCUCCAGCGCCUUAGGAAGCCACGAAGAAUAACACCUGUUGCCAACCCACGGCAGGACCUACCGGUCUCGAGUCAAUAUUCUACCACCGGAAUGCCAUUUAAAUUGCAAUUUAACAUUUGACAACACUUCUAAUCGGGACAUGUAUGAUCGUUUACGACACAAACAAAUAGUGCCUUUGUGAC